GAUGAACGCUGGCGGCGUGCCUAAUACAUGCAAGUCGAGCGAACGGACGAGAAGCUUGCUUCUCUGAUGUUAGCGGCGGACGGGUGAGUAACACGUGGAUAACCUACCUAUAAGACUGGGAUAACUUCGGGAAACCGGAUCUAACACCGGAUAAUAUUUUGAACCGCAUGGUUCAAAAGUGAAAGACGGUCUUGCUGUCCCUUAUAGAUGGAUCCGCGCUGCAUUAGCUAGUUGGUAAGGUAACGGCUUACCAAGGCAACGAUGCAUAGCCGACCUGAGAGGGUGAUCGGCCACACUGGAACUGAGACACGGUCCAGACUCCUACGGGAGGCAGCAGUAGGGAAUCUUCCGCAAUGGGCGAAAGCCUGACGGAGCAACGCCGCGUGAGUGAUGAAGGUCUUCGGAUCGUAAAACUCUGUUAUUAGGGAAGAACAUAUGUGUAAGUAACUGUGCACAUCUUGACGGUACCUAAUCAGAAAGCCACGGCUAACUACGUG
rnacentral:rRNA from 1 species